AGAUUAAGUUAUUAAGGGCGCACGGUGGAUGCCUUGGCACUAGAAGCCGAUGAAGGACGUUACUAACGACGAUAUGCUUUGGGGAGCUGUAAGUAAGCUUUGAUCCAGAGAUUUCCGAAUGGGGAAACCCAGCAUGAGUUAUGUCAUGUUAUCGAUAUGUGAAUACAUAGCAUAUCAGAAGGCACACCCGGAGAACUGAAACAUCUUAGUACCCGGAGGAAGAGAAAGAAAAUUCGAUUCCCUUAGUAGCGGCGAGCGAAACGGGAAGAGCCCAAACCAAACCGGCGAGUUACGAUUUGAUGCAAGGUUAAGCAGUAAAUGUGGAGCCGUAGCGAAAGCGAGUCUGAAUAGGGCGUUUAGUAUUUGGUCGUAGACCCGAAACCAGGUGAUCUACCCUUGGUCAGGUUGAAGUUCAGGUAACACUGAAUGGAGGACCGAACCGACUUACGUUGAAAAGUGAGCGGAUGAACUGAGGGUAGCGGAGAAAUUCCAAUCGAACCUGGAGAUAGCUGGUUCUCUCCGAAAUAGCUUUAGGGCUAGCCUCAAGUGAUGAUUAUUGGAGGUAGAGCACUGUUUGGACGAGGGGCCCCUCUCGGGUUACCGAAUUCAGACAACCCGUCCACCGAUUGACUAAGGUUUCCAGAGGAAGGCUCGUCCGCUCUGGGUUAGUCGGGUCCUAAGCUGAGGCCGACAGGCGUAGGCGAUGGAUAACAGGUUGAUAUUCCUGUACCACCUAUAAUCGUUUUAAUCGAUGGGGGGACGCAGUAGGAUAGGCGAAGCGUGCGAUUGGAUUGCACGUCUAAGCAGUAAGGCUGAGUAUUAGGCAAAUCCGGUACUCGUUAAGGCUGAGCUGUGAUGGGGAGAAGACAUUGUGUCUUCGAGUCGUUGAUUUCACACUGCCGAGAAAAGCCUCUAGAUAGAAAAUAGGUGCCCGUACCGCAAACCGACACAGGUAGUCAAGAUGAGAAUUCUAAGGUGAGCGAGCGAACUCUCGUUAAGGAACUCGGCAAAAUGACCCCGUAACUUCGGGAGAAGGGGUGCUCUUUAGGGUUAACGCCCAGAAGAGCCGCAGUGAAUAGGCCCAAGCGACUGUUUAUCAAAAACACAGGUCUCUGCUAAACCGUAAGGUGAUGUAUAGGGGCUGACGCCUGCCCGGUGCUGGAAGGGCACAGCUUGUACAGGAUAGGUAGGAGCCUUUGAAACGUGAGCGCUAGCUUACGUGGAGGCGCUGGUGGGAUACUACCCUAGCUGUGUUGGCUUUCUAACCCGCACCACUUAUCGUGGUGGGAGACAGUGUCAGGCGGGCAGUUUGACUGGGGCGGUCGCCUCCUAAAAGGUAACGGAGGCGCUCAAAGGUUCCCUCAGAAUGGUUGGAAAUCAUUCAUAGAGUGUAAAGGCAUAAGGGAGCUUGACUGCGAGACCUACAAGUCGAGCAGGG
rnacentral:rRNA from 1 species